CCUACGGGAGGCUGCAGUAGGGAAUCUUUCACAAUGGGCGAAAGCCUGAUGGAGCAACGCCGCGUGCAUGAUGAAGGCCUUCGGGUUGUAAACUGCUUUUAUAAGCGAGAAAUAUGAUGGUAACUUAUGAAUAAGGAUCGGCUAACUACGUGCCAGCAGCCGCGGUCAUACGUAGGAUCCGAGCAUUAUCCGGAGUGACUGGGUGUAAAGAGUUGCGUAGGUGGCAUAAUAAGUAGCUAGGGAAAUCUGGUGGCUCAACCAUUCAGACUAUUAGUUAAACUGUGAAGCUCGAGACCGUUAGGGGUAAGUGGAAUUUCUGGUGUAGGAGUGAAAUGCGUAGAUAUUAGAAGGAACACCGAUGGCGUAGGCAGGUUACUGGGACGGUUCUGACGCUGAGGCCCGAAAGCGUAGGGAGCAAACGGGAUUAGAUACCCGUGUAGUC
rnacentral:rRNA from 1 species